rnacentral:rRNA from 1 species
UACGUAGGUGGCGAGCGUUGUCCGGAUUUACUGGGCGUAAAGGGCGUGCAGGCGGUUUGUUAAGUGCAGGGUGAAAGCUCCCGGCUCAACUGGGAGAGGUCCUUGCAUACUGGCGAACUCGAGGGAGGCAGAGGAAAGUGGAAUUCCCGGUGUAGUGGUGAUAUGCGUAGAUAUCGGGAGGAACACCAGUGGCGAAGGCGCUGACCUGGACGGAAGAUUGACGCUGAGGUGCGAAAGCGUGGGGGAGCAAACAGG